AUACGGAGGAUGCAAGCGUUAUCCGGAUUUAUUGGGUUUAAAGGGUGCGUAGGCGGUUUGCUAAGCGGGAGGUGAAAUGCCGGCGCUCAACGUCGGAAGUGCCUCCCGAACUGGUGGACUUGAAUGACUCUGCCGUGGGAGGAAUGUGUAGUGUAGCGGUGAAAUGCUUAGAGAUUACACAGAACACCGAUUGCGAAGGCAUCGCACGAAGGGUUGAUUGACGCUGAGGCACGAAAGCGUGGGGAUCAAACAGGAUUAGAUACCCUGGUAGUCCACGCAGUAAACGAUGAUGGCUAACCGCUGGGCUUAUCAGUUCAGUGGCCAAGCGAAAGCGAUAAGCCAUCCACCUGGGGAGUACGACCGCAAGGUUGAAACUCAAAGGAAUUGACGGGG
rnacentral:rRNA from 1 species